UACAGAGGGUGCGAGCGUUGUCCGGAUUUAUUGGGCGUAAAGAGCUCGUAGGCGGCUUGUCGCGUCGACUGUGAAAUCCCGCGGCUCAACUGCGGGUCUGCCGUCGAUACGGGCAGGCUAGAGUUCGGUAGGGGAGACUGGAAUUCCUGGUGUAGCGGUGAAAUGCGCAGAUAUCAGGAGGAACACCGAUGGCGAAGGCAGGUCUCUGGGCCGAUACUGACGCUGAGGAGCGAAAGCGUGGGGAGCGAACAGG
rnacentral:rRNA from 1 species